UCCCCGCGCGUGACCUGCGUAUAUUGGACCCUCUCUUGUCAUACCCUUCUACCCUUCUGGGUCGUGAGAGGGCCAUCGUCAUCAACUUGGAGCACAUCAAGGCCAUCAUCACCGCCCACGAGGUCCUCCUCCUCAACUCUCGCGACCCCUCCGUCACCCCCUUCCUUCAGGAGCUCCAGGCCAGGAUCCUCCGCCACCACCACCAGACUCUGGCCGAUGCCAACCCCAACCCUGACGACGCCAUCAAGAUUCUCCCCUUCGAGUUCGUAGCCCUUGAGGCCUGUCUGGAGGCCGCUUGUAGCGUCUUGGAAAACGAGGCUAAGACUUUGGAGCAGGAGGCUCAUCCGGC
rnacentral:lncRNA from 1 species